rnacentral:rRNA from 1 species
UACGUAGGGUGCAAGCGUGUCCGGAAUUAUGGGCGUAAAGAGCUCGUAGGCGGUCUGUCGCGUCGGCUGUGAAAACCCGGAGCUCAACUCCGGGCCUGCAGUCGAUACGGGGCAGACUGGAGUACUGCAGGGGAGACUGGAAUUCCUGGUGUAGCGGUGGAAUGCGCAGAUAUCAGGGAGGAACACCGGUGGGCGAAGGC